GCGGCAAGCCUAACACAUGCAAGUCGAGCGGCAGCGGGAGAAAGCUUGCUUUCUUGCCGGCGAGCGGCGGACGGGUGAGUAAGGUAUGGGGAUCUGGCCGAAGGCGGGGGAUAACCACUGGAAACGGUGGCUAAUACUGCAUAAUCUCUAAGGAGCAAAGUGGGGGACCAUUUGGCCUCACACCUUCGGAUGAACCCAUAUGAGAUUAGCUAGUAGGUGGGGUAAAGGCUCACCUAGGCGACGAUCUCUAGCUGGUCUGAGAGGAUGAUCAGCCACACUGGGACUGAGACACGGCCCAGACUCCUACGGGAGGCAGCAGUGGGGAAUAUUGCACAAUGGGCGCAAGCCUGAUGCAGCCAUGCCGCGUGUAUGAAGAAGGCCUUCGGGUUGUAAAGUACUUUCAGUCGUGAGGAAGGUGUUAAGGUUAAUAGUCUUAGCAAUUGACGUUAGCGACAGAAGAAGCACCGGCUAACUCCGUGCCAGCAGCCGCGGUAAUACGGAGGGUGCGAGCGUUAAUCGGAAUUACUGGGCGUAAAGGGCACGCAGGCGGUUAAUUAAGUUGGAUGUGAAAUCCCCGGGCUUAACCUGGGAAUGGCAUUCAAGACUGGUUAGCUAGAGUCUUGUAGAGGGGGGUAGAAUUCCAUGUGUAGCGGUGAAAUGCGUAGAGAUGUGGAGGAAUACCGGUGGCGAAGGCGGCCCCCUGGACAAAGACUGACGCUCAUGUGCGAAAGCGUGGGGAGCAGACAGGAUUAGAUACCCUGGUAGUCCACGCUGUAAACGAUGUCGAUUUGGAGGUUGUGGUCCUGAACUGUGGCCUCCGGAGCUAACGCGUUAAAUCGACCGCCUGGGGAGUACGGCCGCAAGGUUAAAACUCAAAUGAAUUGACGGGGGCCCGCACAAGCGGUGGAGCAUGUGGUUUAAUUCGAUGCAACGCGAAGAACCUUACCUACUCUUGACAUCCAGCGAAGCCUUUAGAGAUAGAGGCGUGCCUUCGGGAGCGCUGAGANCAGGUGCUGCAUGGCUGUCGUCAGCUCGUGUUGAGAAAUGUUGGGUUAA
rnacentral:rRNA from 1 species